rnacentral:rRNA from 1 species
AGCGAACGCUGGCGGCAGGCCUAACACAUGCAAGUCGAACGCCUGUAGCAAUACAGGAGUGGCAGACGGGUGAGUAACACGUGGGAACGUGCCCUUCGGUUCGGAAUAACUCAGGGAGACUUGGGCUAAUACCGGAUACGUCCGCGAGGAGAAAGAUUCAUCGCCGAAGGAUCGGCCCGCGUCCGAUUAGCUAGUUGGUGGGGUAAUGGCUCACCAAGGCGACGAUCGGUAGCUGGUCUGAGAGGAUGAUCAGCCACACUGGGACUGAGACACGGCCCAGACUCCUACGGGAGGCAGCAGUGGGGAAUAUUGGACAAUGGGCGCAAGCCUGAUCCAGCCAUGCCGCGUGGGUGAUGAAGGCCCUAGGGUUGUAAAGCCCUUUCGGCGGGGAAGAUAAUGACGGUACCCGCAGAAGAAGCCCCGGCUAACUUCGUGCCAGCCGCCGCAGUAACAC